UGGUUAAAAAGCUCGUAGUUGGAUCUCGGCGGACUGAGGGCGGUUUGCUUGCUAGUAUUACUGCCCUAUAGUCCGUAGUUUUGCCAGAGGUUUCGGGGUGCUCUUAAUCGAGUGUCCCGGGAUGCUGGCAGGUUUACUUUGAAAAAAUUAGAGUGCUCAAAGCAGGCUAUUACGCCUGAAUAUUCGUGCAUGGAAUAAUAGAAUAGGAAGUCGUUUCUAUUUUGUUGGUUUUCGGAAAUCGACUUAAUGAUUAAUAGGGACAGUCGGGGGCAUUUGUAUUCAAACGACAGAGGUGAAAUUCUUGGACCGUUUGAAGACAAACUACUGCGAAAGCAUUUGCCAAGAAUGUUUUCAUUAAUCAAGUACGAAAGUUAAAGGUUCGAAGGCGAUUAGAUACCGCCCUAGUUUUAACCAUAAACGAUGCCAGCUAGCGAUCUGCGGACGUUUUUUUUGUAGACUCCGCAGGAAGCUUCCGGGAAACCAAAGCAUUUGGGUUCCAGGGGAAGUAUGGUUGCAAAGCUGAAACUUAAAGGAAUUGACGGAAGGGCACCACCAGGAGUGGAGCCUGUGGCUUAAUUUGACUCAACACGGGAAAUCUCACCAGGCCCGGACACUGGAAGGAUUGACAGAUUGAUAGCUCU
rnacentral:rRNA from 1 species